UGAGGAAUAUUGGGCAAUGCCCGCAAGGGUGACCCAGCAACGCCGCGUGGAGGAUGAAUGUCGUAAGAUUGUAAACUCCUGUUAGAGGGGAAGAAUAGUACCGGUUGGACCGGUAUAUGACUGUACCCUCAGAGAAAGCCCCGGCUAACUACGUGCCAGCAGCCGCGGUAAUACGUAGGGGGCAAGCGUUGUCCGGAUUUACUGGGUGUACAGGGCGAGCAGGCGGGAUAAAAAGUCAGUGGUGAAAUCCUACAGCUUAACUGUAGAACUGCCUUUGAUACUUUUAUUCUUGAGUUCGGGAGAGAGAGACGGAAUUCCAUGUGUAGUGGUGAAAUACGUAGAUAUCUGGAAGAACACCAGUUGCGAAGGCGGUCUCUUGGUCCGACACUGACGCUGAGGCGCGAAAGCGUGGGGAGCAAACA
rnacentral:rRNA from 1 species